rnacentral:rRNA from 1 species
CCUACGGGGGGCAGCAGUGGGGGAUAUUGCACAAUGGGGGGAACCCUGAUGCAGCGACGCCGCGUGAGCGAAGAAGUACCUCGGUAUGUAAAGCUCUAUCAGCAGGGAAGAAAAUGACGGUACCUGACUAAGAAGCCCCGGCUAAAUACGUGCCAGCAGCCGCGGUAAUACGUAUGGGGCAAGCGUUAUCCGGAUUUACUGGGUGUAAAGGGAGCGCAGGCGGCCUGCCAAGUCUGGUGUGAAAACCCGGGGCCCAACCCCGGGCCUGCAUUGGAAACUGGCGGGCUGGAGUGUCGGAGGGGCAG